GACGAACGCUGGCGGCGUGCUUAACGCAUGCAAGUCGAACGAGACGAUUGAAAGCUUGCUUUUGAAAGUCGAGUGGCAAACGGGUGAGUAACGCGUAGACAACCUGCCUUUGAGAUGGGGACAACAGUUCGAAAGGACUGCUAAUACCGAAUGUUGUAUAUUUUCCACAUGGAAGAUAUAUUAAAGAUGGCCUCUAUUUAUAAGCUAUCGCUCAAAGAUGGGUCUGCGUCUGAUUAGCUGGUUGGUGGGGUAACGGCCUACCAAGGCGACGAUCAGUAGCCGGUCUGAGAGGAUGAACGGCCACAUUGGGACUGAGACCCGGCCCAGACUCCUACGGGAGGCAGCAGUGGGGAAUCUUCCACAAUGGACGAAAGUCUGAUGGAGCAACGCCGCGUGAGUGAAGAAGGGUUUCGGCUCGUAAAGCUCUGUUGUCGGGGACGAAUGUGCAGUAUUUGAAUAAAGUACUGCAAUGACGGUACCUGACGAGGAAGCCACGGCUAACUACGUGCCAGCCGCCGCGGUAA
rnacentral:rRNA from 1 species